rnacentral:rRNA from 1 species
CCCUUAGAUGUUCUGGGCCGCACGCGCGCUACACUGACGAUGGCAACGAGUUUUUCCUUCGCCGAAAGGUGUGGGUAAUCUUUUGAAACAUCGUCGUGCUGGGGAUAGAUCAUUGCAAUUUUUGAUCUUGAACGAGGAAUUCCUAGUAAGCGCGAGUCAUCAGCUCGCGUUGAUUACGUCCCUGCCCUUUGUACACACCGCCCGUCGCUACUACCGAUUGAAUGGUUUAGUGAGGACUCCUGAUUGGCGCCGCCGCCCCGGCAACGGAGCAGCGGACUGCCGAAAAGUUGUUCAAACUUGAUCAUUUAGAGUAAGUAAAAGUCGUAACA